UUAAAGGUCCAGCCUGCCCAGUGAAAAUUUUUUUAACGGCCGCGGUAUCCUAACCGUGCAAAGGUAGCGUAAUCAAUUGCCUCUUAAAUAGAGGCUGGUAUGAAUGGCUUAAUGAGGGUGCACCUGUCUCCUGAGAUCAAUUAAUGAAACUGAUCUUUCAGUACAAAAGCUGAAAUUCCCCCAUAAGACGAACAGACCCUGUGGAGCUUAAAACUUUAAUAUUACAAUUAAUAAACACCACUUCAUCGAAAACACUAUAAAAAUUCAAUAAUAUUAGCUUUUUAGUUGGGGCGACUGCGGAACACCAAAAACCUUCCAUGAUAACAGGAUUAUAAUCCAUUUAAGACCAACAAGUCAAAGAAAAACACACUGACCCAGUAUAAUGCUGAUCAUCGAAACAAGUUACCCCAGGGAUAACAGCGCCAUCCCCUUCAAGAGUCCAUAUCGCCAAGGGGGCUUACGACCUCGAUGUUGGAUCAGGACCACCAAGUGGCGCAGCCGCUACUAAAGGUUCGU
rnacentral:rRNA from 1 species